rnacentral:lncRNA from 1 species
AAGAAAAUCUCCCUUUUGCCAAGAUUUUAUACUUGGAGAACCAUUUGGAGAAACAGAAUAUACAGGCUUCAAAAUCAAUGUAUAGGAUUCAUCACUCUGUGACUUGGAGCUUAUCUUUGAGACACCGCUAGUGGAUUCACCACUAGGUGAUUUGGAGCUUCUCUUCGAUAUCAGGCUGUAGGAAUCAUCACUCUGUGACUUGGAGCUUAUCUUUGAGACACCGCUAGUGGAUUCACCACUAGGUGAUUUGGAGCUUGUCUUCGAUAUCAGGCUGUAGGAAUCAUCACUCUGUGAUUUAGAGCUUAAAUCUGGAACAUCCUCAGCAGCAUCUCUUACACCUUGCUCAUAAGACUCUGAGCUUAUCUGUGAUACUUGUGAAGCACUUCUU